GCCCCCGUGGUGGAAUUGGCAGACACCUAUGGCUUAGGACCAUAGGGCCGAAAGGCCGUGUAGGUUCAAAUCCUACCGGGGGCA
rnacentral:tRNA from 1 species